UAACGGACCAGAGUGGCCCAAGAUAGCCCACAUUCCUUACGUAAAUAUUGAUCGUAGGUUCGUGUUUGACUCAGAAUAGGAGGAAUCCAUGCCUGACUCGGAAGAGGAGGAUGAGGGAGGUCUAUCAUCAAUUGACCCGCAGAUUUUGCUUAAUGUAAGACAACUGUUGAGAAAUAUAUCGAAAGAGCCGUGGGCGGGUCCACUAUGCAAGUCAUCACCAUGAGCCACACAUCACGCUGUUCAAGAGGCCUCUAAACUGUUAGUAGCAGGAGGAGAACAUGCAUCGUCCCGCACAAAUAUACAUGUAAUCUCUCCAAGUAGAGUUCAUAUUUCCCUAAGAAACAAUCUGGAUGUUUUGGAACUUAGGUUUGUAUAAUUGUGAAUUUUCCUGUUUCGGAAUUUUAUGCUUGUCAUUGGCAUUGCGUUGAUAUAAAAGGUUCUUUUGUUUUUGUCUGAAUGUUUGCGUUGGAGAGAUCACGUUGCUCCUAUUUAUUAAUGUACUUGUUGGGUUCACAUAAAUGCAUAACAAGUGUUUGUUGAAUUGCCUCACCCACCAAGCAGAGAGUGAAAGCCUCCGAACAUUGAAUUUUGUCAUUACUAUGCCUGCCUUAGUUGGCUUGACAAAAGAGAAGAAACUUGUAAGUUCAACACUCCCAGCCCAAACACCAAACCUAGAGCAUAUGUUGCAUUUUCUCCAAUGAUUUGGCAUCACACCUUUUGUAUGUGGAAACCGAAGUGUUCAAUGAAGAAAAUGCUGGUCCUGAACAGAAUGAACGGCCUAUGAAUGGGGUUCAACAGGGUUGAUAUAAGAGGCUCUUUUGUUUGUGUCUGAAUGUUGGUGUUGGAAAGAUCUUCUUGUUCCUAUCUCUGAAUGUUGGCAUCACACCCUUUGUAGGUGGAAACCAAAGUGUUCAAUGCAGAAAAUGCUUGUCCUGAGCAGGAAGGAUAUUGAUGUGUCUUAGGUGUAGAGAAGGGAAGGGAUUAUCCUAAUGCAGUAUCCCCAGGAACAAACUGAUCAAGAUUAU